CUUUCAUCCGUAACUCAUUUUUCAGACCCCAGAGUCUUGGUUCUUAACUUUAGCUUCUGGGUGACUCUGUUAUCUCUCCAUUAACUUAUAAGUGCCAUCCAAUGAGCUAGGCCUUUUGUAGCCUGGCUUACUUUCUUUAAACUCCCUUUGGGACACUACAGACUAUUGUUCUCUUGGGCGAGUAAUGAUGGUGAUAAUGAUUGUGGUGGUGAUGAGUAACGCACAUUUACGGGGCCGUUAAUAUAUUCUGGGCAUCACGCUAAGAACUUUCCAAGCACCAUCUCAUUUAAUUCUCACCACAUCCUCGAACACAGAUCCUGUCAUCAUCCCCAUUUCUCAGAUGAGUGAAACAGACCGAGUGGUUUAGGGCAAUGGCCAAAAUCCUGCAGUAGUUCUUUCUGCUUCCAAAACUUUAAACUACUUUGAACUUUGCAACCUGAAAUUUUUCUCCCUCCCACUUUACAAAAUACACGGUCUUAGAAAAAACUCCACACAUCACAGCAGACCUCUGAUGUCACAAUAGCCUGCAGCAUCCUCCUGUGACAACGCCACUGCAGCAUGAGGAGCAGCACCUGCUCUGUGACAGUCUCGUGUCUUCAGCGAAGACAGCCUGGGGCCUCCAGUUGUGUGAUGCUAUUAGAUCGCCCCUCACUGCUGGAGUGGAUGUUCUUGGCAAUGAAAGGAAGAGGUUGGGGGCAAAGGUGAAGCAUGGGGCCUGGAAGCCUCUGGCAGCCUCGGGAUGAUUCCUUGGUGACCAGCUGUGUGGACCACGCCUCUGCCCCCUGCCUCGAGUGGAUUCUGGCUCCCAGUGGGCAGUUUCUCCACAAUCUCUAGAGCCCCAGCCUGCUUCCUUUGUGCCUGGAUGUCUCACCUGUCGAUGGCCAAUGCUUGAAUUCAGCCUUGGAGAUGAUAGUGAUGGGUGAGUAGAGGAGGAGUUUUGGUCCAGAAUCAAUUCAUUUGGAAAAAUAAGCACACAGGUUUUGAGCAAAUGCCUGUAUUGCCCCUGGAAUGGUUUCAGGUCUUCACAAAACCCAUCCCUUCAAGCUUAAACGCUCCUGAUUCUAGAGGGAGUGACCAAGUCUGUGUUUUCAGACAUGUCCAGGAGCCCUUUCUCCUUUCUCACCUCAACGAACACCUGGAUAAGCCCCUCUGAGGGGCUUCCGGUGCAGCCUCUCCCAAGCUCAGGCACAGAGUGGCACAGAGUGGCACAGAGUGGCGGCACCACCCUCCCUCCACUUUCCUGAGUCACUUGGACAUUACCCAUCAAAGUGCCGAUUCUUUCCUCCAGAGAGUAUUUUCUUUUAAAGUUGACAGCAUUCACUUUUUGUUUGUCUUUCUGUUUGCUGCAAAGAGAACUCUGAAUUCUGACAGAAAUCCUGCCCAUUAGAGAGAGACAGUUUUACAUUCUUCCUGAAAUUUUGCAGAGUCACUUAUAGCAUUGGUAAAGUUGGACACCAGAACUUUUAGAUCCCCGGCCAGCCAAGGGGCAUGGGCAGAAAGUCACCUGGUCUCUAGAGCUCUCACGGCUCUCUGAGACUCGUAGGGCAGUCCUUGGGACCAUUCCCCCUGUACACGCUAGUGUUUAUUGUUUAAUAAAAUAUUUAACUUAUGCAAAAAUAAAAUAUAAUGUCUGCAAGGUAUAAAAGAUAAUGAAAUAAAUACCCCUGGGAUCAUUGAAGACUGAAGAAAUAGAAUGUUGCCAAAAGGGCGAAGCACCUUGCAUGCCUGUCCCGUUGGUGAUCUCCUCCUCCUGCGGGAAUUUUAUGUUUAUUGUUUUAAAGCAUGUUUAGUAAAAUGAAUACAUUUUA